AUGUACCCUAUAGCUUGGGCUGUUGUGGAAAAAGAAACUACAAAGACAUGGAAGUGGUUUAUUGGGCUGCUAAUCAAGGAUUUGGAUAUCAAUGAUCAAGGAGCAGGCUGGGUUUUUAUUUCUGACCAGCAAAAGGUAUAA
rnacentral:rRNA from 1 species